rnacentral:rRNA from 1 species
GAACUGGUUUCCUUGAGUACGCACAAAGUGGGCGGAAUUCGUGGUGUAGCGGUGAAAUGCUUAGAUAUCACGAAGAACUCCGAUUGCGAAGGCAGCUCACUGGAGCGCAACUGACGCUGAAGCUCGAAAGUGCGGGUAUCGAACAGGAUUAGAUACCCUGGUAGUCCGCACGGUAAACGAUGGAUGCCCGCUGUUGGUCUGAAUAGGUCAGCGGCCAAGCGAAAGCAUUAAGCAUCCCACCUGGGGAGUACGCCGGCAACGGUGAAACUCAAAGGAAUUGACGGGGGCCCGCACAAGCGGAGGAACAUGUGGUUUAAUUCGAUGA